ensembl:lncRNA
UUUUCUUUUAAAGACUUUGUACAUUACUUUGCCUUUAUUCUCAGCAUCAGAUUACCAGCAUAUUUCCUCCACUGUAGAAAGCAGAUGGUUAUUGUACUGUAUUUUGUACUCAGUCGUUCCUUGAAUUCGGUUGUAUUUAUUAGCGUCGAUUACUAACUCAAACGGAAGACACAUCGAGUCUUUUGCUAGAGAAUUGCACAGAUGAACACAUGAGAUCCGUGUAUGAAUGCAGUAAAUGGGUAAGAGUGUGUGGGAGACGUGGUGCAGGACCAAAAAUGCCAACGUGAAGCUCUUCUUCCUAAAAAGCAGCUGAAGAACAUCAGCUGUUUCGGUGUGACUGCUCUGACUCGGCUGCUGAUUGCUUUCGUUAAGCUGGUGUAAUUCUGAUCACAGGCUGCCGGGAAUGCAGAAACAGUUCAUUCCAGUGCUGGGCCACAUUAUUUUAAUCUCGAGUGCCCCCUCUGUGGGCAGGUUUAUUGUUGAUGUGCAUCAUGUAAAUGUGUUUGUCUGAAGAGGGAGCUAAUGAGUUUCAGCAAACUUUACCCUGCCCGUCUUUAAAAUUAGUCAGCUUCUGAUGUCUCGAAACUUUUUGCACAUUUCCUUUGCUGUCACAAAAGGCUGAUUAUUUCAAGUCAAAUUCCAGCUGGUUUUUUUUUGUUUGUUUGUUUGUUUUGUUUUCAGCUUCAUUUGUCUGCUUGUGACAGCAGAGACAGUCGAGUUAAUGCACUUGCAGUUACCCUUCUUGUCAGCAGAGGUCCUUAUUAUCAAAGAUUUGCCCUUGAAGAUUUCUGUCCCUGUUUAAACCUGCACUGGUGUAACUGGUGGUUUACCUGAUGGGCUCCUGUUUGUUUGUUUGUUUGUUUGUUUUUUUAAUGGCUGAAAGAAAAUGCUCCUGAACAAUGUAAAAUUACCAAGAUUUUGCCUUGAUUACCUGUAACACGGUCUGAUUUAGAUCCAAGUUGCAGUUAUAAUCUGAAUGUGUUUCAACUGGACAAAUGCAGAGUAAAAGUAAGAAAAGUCUUUGUAGCUGCUUAUGAGACUGAAGCAGAUGAUUUUUACAUUUUUCCUUCUACUUAACUCUUUAAGACCUCAGCAGCUCUUACCCUGUGGUUAUCAGAAUUUUUGUUACAAUUUAGUCGUUGUAAGUUGUAACACGCAUAAAAUGAUGUAUUUUCCACCUAUAACGUGCCUUUUUCUCUCUCCAGAUAAUACAGAAUUAGAGUUAGACCUAACCCCAGCUGUGUGAUGGAUUGGGCCUUCAGAGCGUUUAUGAGUGCAAAAAUCUUGGUAAUUUAAUUAAAGCUUGUUUUUUUUAAACCAAAUAUCCUUGAGAGAAUGUGUGUGUAUAUACGCGAGAGUGCUUGUAGUGAGAGAUCUGGUUGACAUUUCACAGAUUUCUUCCAAAAGAGUUGUGCUCUGUAUUGACACGUGAAAGUUCCUGUUGCUGCCUCGCUUGCACGCAUCAAUCCAAAUUAAAUGCAUUAUGAAACUGAUGACCUACCUCUUCCUUUCUAAGGAGUAAAUCUUGAACGUAAGAGCAGAAACCUGUGACAUUCAGGCAGAUGUUAUAACAUCUGGUUCACUUGUCUCACAUAAUAAAAAUGACAGUUGAGUUUUUGGGUUUACUUGUUUUAUUGUUGCUGGGGUCUUUAUUUGCUUUGGUAUCCGAUGUUGAUGUAGUUUUAAUGUGAACAGGAAUGUGGCCUUGCUGCCUCAGCUGCUCAUCC